AAAAUGUAAGAAAGGAGAGAAGGUUUAGCACUCCUCUUGAUAAGGAUGGAAGGGACCCCUGUGGUUUAUACAAAACACAUAAAAGGCACUUGUCUCCUUACUUCGGAGACAGGACUGAUAAGCUCCU